rfam:TPA: Bos taurus chromosome 1, whole genome shotgun sequence.
UUUCAGGUGUCUCAGUGGUAAAGAAUCUGCCUGCCAAUGCAGGAGACGCAGGAGAUUCAGGUUUGAUCCCUGGAUUGGAAA